AUUCAUGGCAUAUUUCUUUUUUGUCUACCAGCUAUUUUGAGAAUAUUGGAUGCUGUUCUAAUUGGCUGGUUUUGUAUAUCUCCUACGCCAUAUCAAAAAUCAUUAUAGUAUUGCUCAUUUGCCAUUGCUUUGGCAUUCCUUCCUUACCUACUGCUCCCUUUCAGAUAAAUACUGUUGUGUUUGCAACUUUCAGUGCCACAUGGGGGUGGUUGUCAAAUGAAUUGUGGUGAAAAUUCAACAUUGUAAUAAUGAUUUUUUGGCUGUUCAGUAUCUGAAACCUCUUCCUCUGCUUGCAGAAAUUGCCGCUGUGCAGUUAUGAUGGGAAGCAGAACUGUACCUCACAUUAUCAGAAUGAAAAAGCAAAAAGAAGCCAGAUGCCUGCUGCUCCUGAUCUCUUGUGUCUAUAGCCAGGUCAAACAGGGUGGUGGUGUGGUGUGCUGUGUGUGUUCCUAGAGCUGGAGCAGCUCACCUCCUCUGUGCUGGGAGCCAAGCUACGCCCACCUGGAAGCCUCCUCCUGCCUGGGAGCUGCUGUGCGCAGAUCUGGAAGCCUCCUCUAUGCUGGGAGAUGCGGGAUGCCCACAUAUUUUUACACUUUGACAAUGGCUUAAAUUAUGUCUUCCCUUGGGUCAGGGUGUGAACUUCUGAAUAAGAUGUCUUUCCAAGUCAUCAUAAACUAUAGAGAUGUUUAAUAUUACAAUGCCUUUGUAACUACUGCUUCUGGGUAGAAAUGUUGGAUGCAGUAGUUCUAAAAGAAAGAGAAGUGGAUUAUACAGGGUGUAACACUAACCUAUCUCCUUUAGCUUACACAUCUAUGUUUUAAUUGGAUUCAGUGUCAAUAUUAGGAAUGCUUCUAAAACUUUUGAGUGCUAUAUAAUUGCAUUUAUUUUUAUUGAUCAAAAUAAAUUAUUUCAAAAAUGUUUUUAAAGGGUAAUGAAGCAAGUGACCAUAUUUCAAUAAACUAAUUUUAGGAUUUA
rnacentral:lncRNA from 1 species